rnacentral:rRNA from 1 species
UACGUAGGGUGCAAGCGUUGUCCGGAAUUAUUGGGCGUAAAGAGCUCGUAGGCGGCUUGUCACGUCGACUGUGAAAACCUGGGGCUCAACCCCGGGCCUGCAGCCGAUACGGGCAAGCUAGAAUUCGGUAGGGGAGACUGGAAUUCCUGGUGUAGCGGUGAAAUGCGCAGAUAUCAGGAGGAACACCGGUGGCGAAGGCGGGUCUCUGGGCCGAUAUUGACGCUGAGGAGCGAAAGCGUGGGGAGCGAACAGG